CCUACGGGAUGCAGCAGUGGGGAAUAUUGGGCAAUGGACGCAAGUCUGACCCAGCAACGCCGCGUGAAGGAAGAAGGCUUUCGGGUUGUAAACUUCUUUUAAGGGGGAAGAGGAGAAGACGGUACCCCUUGAAUAAGCCACGACUAACUACGUGCCAGCAGCCGCGGUAAUACGUAGGUGGCAAGCGUUGUCCGGAUUUACUGGGUGUAAAGGGCGUGCAGCCGGGCCGACAAGUCAGAUGUGAAAUCCGCGGGCUUAACCCGCGACCUGCAUUUGAAACUAUAGGUCUGGAGUGCCGGAGAGGUAAGCGGAAUGCCUGGUGUAGCGGUGAAAUGCGUAGAGAUAAGGAAGAACACCAGUGGCGAAGGCGGAUUACUGGACGGUAACUGACGGUGAGGCGCGAAAGCGUGGGGAGCAAACAGGAUUAGAUACCCGGGUAGUC
rnacentral:rRNA from 1 species